UCUUGCCUCAGCAGCAAAAUGCUAAAAUUGGUAUGAUACAGAAAAGGUUAGCAUGUCCCCUGCACAAAAAUCACAUGCAAAUUCAUGAGGCAUUACACACACAC
ensembl:snRNA U6 U6 spliceosomal RNA